rnacentral:tRNA from 1 species
GGUCCUGUGGUGUAGUGGUUAUCACGUCUGCUUCACACGCAGAACGUCGCCGGUUCGAUCUCGGGAAGAACCU